CCUACGGGAGGCAGCAGUGGGGAAUCUUGGACAAUGGGCGCAAGCCUGAUCCAGCCAUGCCGCGUGAGUGAUGAAGGCCCUAGGGUCGUAAAGCUCUUUCGCCAGGGAUGAUAAUGACAGUACCUGGUAAAGAAACCCCGGCUAACUCCGUGCCAGCAGCCGCGGUAAUACGGAGGGGGUUAGCGUUGUUCGGAAUUACUGGGCGUAAAGCGCGCGUAGGCGGAUUAGUUAGUCAGAGGUGAAAUCCCGGGGCUCAACCCCGGAACUGCCUUUGAUACUGCUAGUCUUGAGUUCGAGAGAGGUGAGUGGAAUUCCGAGUGUAGAGGUGAAAUUCGUAGAUAUUCGGAGGAACACCAGUGGCGAAGGCGGCUCACUGGCUCGAUACUGACGCUGAGGUGCGGGAGGC
rnacentral:rRNA from 1 species